CGUCAUACGAAGAAUUGGUA
rnacentral:miRNA from 12 species